AGAGUUUGAUCCUGGUUCAUAUUGAACGCUGGCGGCAUGCCUUACACAUGCAAGUCGAACGGCAGCGCGGGAGCAAUCCUGGCGGCGAGUGGCGAACGGGUGAUUAAUAUAUCGGAACGUGCCCAUUAGUGGGGGAUAGCCCGGCGAAAGCCGGAUUAAUACCGCAUACGACCUGAGGGUGAAAGCGGGGGAUCGCAAGACCUCGCGCUAUUGGAGCGGCCGAUAUCAGAUUAUCUAGUUGGUGGGGUAAAAGCCUACCAAGGCAACGAUCUGUAGUUGGCCUGAGAGGACGACCAGCCACACUGGGACUGAGACACGGCCCAGACUCCUACGGGAGGCAGCAGUGGGGAAUUUUGGACAAUGGGCGCAAGCCUGAUCCAGCAAUGCCGCGUGCAGGAAGAAGGCCUUCGCCUUGUAAACUGCUUUUGUCAUGAAAGAAAUCCUUUGGGUUAAUACCUCGAAUGGAUGACGAUACCUGAAGAAUAAGCACCGGCUAACUACGUGCCAUCAGCCGCGAUUAUACGUAGGCUGCGAGCGCUUCUAAGGAAUUGGAGUUACAUGCACAAAGGGGGAUGAUUUGGUUUAAUUAGAGGCAACGAGAAAAACCUAACCUCCCAUGUCAUGUUAGGAAUGUGCAGUGAUGUGAGAGUGCUUGAAAGAGAUCUUCCGCAGGUUUUCAUGAUCGGAUCAGUUCGUUUUUGAGAUGAUAGGUUAAGUUGCGCAACGAGCGCAACUCUUGUCAUUAGUGGUACGAAAGGGCACUCUAAUGAGACUGCCGAGACAAACCGGAGGAAGGUGGGGAUGACGUCAGGUCCUCAUGGCCCUUAUGGGUAGGGUGUCACACGUCAUUCAAUGGCCGGUACAGAGGGCUGCCAACCCGCGAGGGGGAGCCAAUCCCAGAAAACCGGUCGUAGUCCGGAUCGCAGUAUACAAAUCGACUGCGAGAAGUCGGAAUCGUUAGUAAUCGCGGAUCAGCUUGCCGCGGUGAAUACGUUCCCGGGUCUUGUACACACCGCCCGUCACACCAUGGGAGCGGGUUCUGCCAGAAGUAGUUAGCCUAACCGCAAGGAGGGCGAUUACCACGGCAGGGUUCGUGACUGGGGUGAAGUCGUAACAAGGUAACCUCAGUCAGUCAA
rnacentral:rRNA from 1 species